rnacentral:tRNA from 1 species
GUAAAAUAAGCUAAAAUUAAGCUAUUGGGCCCAUAACCCAAAAAUGAAUUUAAUCUUUUACUU